CAGUCGAGCGAGCGGAACCACAGAUUUACUUCGGUAAUGACGUUGGGACAGCGAGCGGCGGAUGGGUGAGUAACACGUGGGGAACCUGCCCCUAAGUCUGGGAUACCAUUUGGAAACAGGUGCUAAUACCGGAUAAUAAAGCAGAUCGCAUGAUCAGCUUUUGAAAGGCGGCGUAAGCUGUCGCUAAGGGAUGGCCCCGCGGUGCAUUAGCUAGUUGGUAAGGUAACGGCUUACCAAGGCGACGAUGCAUAGCCGAGUUGAGAGACUGAUCGGCCACAUUGGGACUGAGACACGGCCCAAACUCCUACGGGAGGCAGCAGUAGGGAAUCUUCCACAAUGGACGCAAGUCUGAUGGAGCAACGCCGCGUGAGUGAAGAAGGUUUUCGGAUCGUAAAGCUCUGUUGUUGGUGAAGAAGGAUAGAGGUAGUAACUGGCCUUUAUUUGACGGUAAUCAACCAGAAAGUCACGGCUAACUACGUGCCAGCAGCCGCGGUAAUACGUAGGUGGCAAGCGUUGUCCGGAUUUAUUGGGCGUAAAGCGAGCGCAGGCGGAAAAAUAAGUCUAAUGUGAAAGCCCUCGGCUUAACCGAGGAACUGCAUCGGAAACUGUUUUUCUUGAGUGCAGAAGAGGAGAGUGGAACUCCAUGUGUAGCGGUGGAAUGCGUAGAUAUAUGGAAGAACACCAGUGGCGAAGGCGGCUCUCUGGUCUGCAACUGACGCUGAGGCUCGAAAGCAUGGGUAGCGAACAGGAUUAGAUACCCUGGUAGUCCAUGCCGUANACGAUGAGUGCUAAGUGUUGGGAGGUUUCCGCCUCUCAGUGCUGCAGCUAACGCAUUA
rnacentral:rRNA from 1 species